rnacentral:misc_RNA from 1 species
AACGGUCUAUACCUGCGGUACCUGCGGAAGGAUCAUUACCGAGUUAUCAACUCCCAAACCCCUGUGAACAUACCCGAACGUUGCCUCGGCGGGACCGCCCCGGCGCCCCUAGCGGCCCGGAACCAGGCGCCCGCCGGAGGACCCAAACUCUUGCUUUAAACAGUGGCAUACUCUCUGAGUCUCACAAACAAAAAAUAAAUCAAAACUUUUAGCAAUGGAUCUCUAGAUCGGAAGAGCACA